rnacentral:rRNA from 1 species
CGAAAGCCUGACGGAGCAACGCCGCGUGUGGGAAGAAGGCCUUUGGGCUGUCAACCACUUUUCUCAGGGAAGAAGUUCUGACGGUACCUGAGGAAUCAGCCUCGGCUAACUCCGUGCCAGCAGCCGCGGUAAUACGGAGGAGGCAAGCGUUAUCCGGAAUCAUUGGGCGUAAAGCGUUCGUAGGCGGCUGUUCAAGUCUGCUGUCAAAGGUCGGAGCUCAACUCCGGUUCGGCAGUGGAAACUGGUGAGCUAGAGGGCGACAGGGGUAGAGGGAAUUCCCAGUGUAGCGGUGAAAUGCGUAGAUAUUGGGAAGAACACCGGUGGCGAAAGCGCUUUGCUGGACCGAACCUGACGCUGAGGGACGAAAGCUAGGGGAGCG